rnacentral:misc_RNA from 1 species
AACGGUCUAUACCUGCGGUACCUGCGGAGGGAUCAUUACAGGACUCGCAAGACUCCUACAACCCUGUGAACUUAACUAUAAGCACGUUGCUUCGGCGGGUGUCUCGGCGAGGGUUCUCCCUCCCCGGGGCGCUAAGCCCGCCGGCAGCCUACUAUACUCUGUCUCUUUGCGUUGGCAUCUCGAGUACAAACAAACAAGUUAAAACUUUCAGCAAUGGAUCUCUAGAUCGGAAGAGCACAC